UACAGAGGUCUCAAGCGUUGUUCGGAUUCAUUGGGCGUAAAGGGUGCGUAGGCGGCGCGGUAAGUCGGGUGUGAAAUCUCGGAGCUUAACUCCGAAACUGCAUUCGAUACUGCGGUGCUUGAGGACUGGAGAGGAGACUGGAAUUCAUGGUGUAGCAGUGAAAUGCGUAGAGAUCAUGAGGAAGACCAGCGGCGAAGGCGGGUCUCUGGACAGUUCCUGACACUGAGACACGAAGGCCAGGGGAGCAAACGGG
rnacentral:rRNA from 1 species